rnacentral:misc_RNA from 1 species
AAAAGGCCAAAAUUAAUAAUUUGUAUUUAAUUAAUGCUGCUUUCAACAACCCAACGAACUAGCUAGUUCCAGAACAGAGCUGAAACGUUCCUUCACUUGUCUGAAAAAUUUAUAUGCUUCUUGCCUAUAAUUGACGGGUCCCGAACCCGUCACAGAAGCUCUCCUGCUCUUCCCAGUACAGCGAAUUGACUAUCCUCGGCCAUUAUCGCCCCGUGCAAAUCGCCCAAACCCACAUUAGCGCAUGUAAACACCAACCUUUCCAUCAAUAGAGACUGAUCAUUCACCACCACGUUCCGCACGCUGCUCCAAUUACACUCGCCGCCGCCAAACUCGCAGAGGACCACCUCUUCAGGAGCCGAAGUAUUGAUUAUAUACGCAAAAUUUCCCAUCACGUUAAUAACCGCCGAUGACAUGCUAAAAAGUUCACCUCUAAGCUUUGCUACUAGCUGCUUUGGCAUUUCACCUAUCUCUCUGCAAAGCUCAAACGACGCGCCGUUUAGCUCCCACAAUUUCAAGCAACUUCUUGUUCAUCGUCUCCGAUCAGACCAAUCAAAAUAACACGGUCGUCAGCGAAUGCAAUGGCGGAAAUGUACGUGUUUCUCUGAGGACACAGAUUGUAGGGACCGUACCACGACUUGGUUUCUGAAUCGAACCAGUGAGCCACGCCAGAGCUUUUUUCUGCAACGUACAUUUUGUUACCACUCACCACUGUGGAGAGCCACGUGGAGGCGGCGGAAUCCUUGAAGAUUGCGGUCAUGGAUUCGCACGUCUCCCACAUGCGUGUCCUCAGGUCGUACAUUUCCACAGCCAAAGGAUCAUCCUCGAAAUCACAAGCCCCUCCAGCGAUUACGCGGUGGCUAACGACGGUGACAAUGGGGUCCGUUCUCCACAUGCAGGGAGUCAAAAGAGAAGGAAAAUUUGGAGGGUGAUAACAUGUAGAGGAGCGUGGAGUGAGAAGAUCGGAGGGCUGAGAUGUAUGGGAUGGGAGGGUGGUGGAUCUGGAGCCAGAAGCGCGAUCGAGGAUCGUAAGCGUAGGCGGUUGUGGAGCAAGGAACCUCGUAGCCCGAGAGUGGAGGAUGAGCCAGGGUUUGAUUUUGUUGAAGUGACGAAGAGAAGUUUUACGGCGCGUUUCCAGGACUUGGAGACAUGGAAAGCAGGGAUAACAAGGUCGAUGAGAGGCAGGUACGUGAGUACAGACUCCAGGAUGUCCCCAUGUAUUAAGGUUUCUUCUUCUUUUUCUUGUUGUGCUGUUGUUUCUUCUUUGCUCCGUUCUGCCAUGAUAAAUU